CCAAUGUGAAAGUGUCUCUUUCUGCCAUCAACAGAAUCUCGUGUACAGACUUGGACUUCCAGCUGCUUUACUCUGCUCUGGGUCUGCUUCCCCAACAAAAUUAUUCUUCGGCCUUUUCUUUAUUCCAGUCUUAAUUUCACUGGGUCUGCACUGCUUGCUUUCCUAGAUCUAUGUAACCAAGAAUAGCAUAUAUACAUAAAUAGCAUAUAUUCUGUGGGUGUGCGUGCAUGCAUGCGUGGGUGCACGCACCUUAGUGUGUUUUAGGUGCCUCCUCUUUCCAUUUAAUAGCAGGGAAUAAUGACUUUUCUCUGCAUGUCACAUCUGCCCCUUAUGUGCAAUUGGGGUGAACUUACUCUAGUUUAGUCUCUAAGUGUAGCCCCUGAGCCUUCUCAUGAUUGCAAGUCCAGAGAUCUAUCCUUUCUCUUCAAACACACCUCCUCUUUAGGCUUUUAGAGGCCCCACAGUGCACCAAAGUGACUUGAGGAGGAGGGUCAAGUUGAAGUGGCACCGAAGUCUGGGGCACCGGGAUCUUGACAGCUGAGUGGAAGCUCGUCUUUGAGAGUCACGGCCAAAAGGCAGAGCUGGGAGAAGCAUCCGAUUCUUGCAGUAGCCAAGGAGCCUGGAAGCUCUGGCCCUGUGGGUUAGUGUUGUUCAUGAUAGAGGGGCUUUCUAUCAAGCUAGCCAGGACCUGCCUGCUCAAAUCCUUGGUACUGCUCCGUUGCUUGCUGGAGUUGAGGCUUCACAGAUUCUGGCUCCAGAGAGGCAGUGCAUUAAAGAUAGAUCUGGGGAGAGGUGUCUUAGAGCACUUGUGCUGCAUCCUCUGGGACACACAGAGAUGAAGAGAUACUCACAGCCUUAUUUCCAGGGCUGAUGCUAGUGCUCGCUGGAGAAGGCGCUAUUCUGUAUUCCUGCCACUAGUGCUCGUUCAAAGUCAAGGGUUUCCCCAGAAGUUCUUUAUGGAAAAAAGCCACCCCCAGCAUCUUGUCCUGUGCAUUUGAUUCCCGAUUCCAAAGAUCUCUUUCCAUGCAUCCUCAGAGUCAUUUCUCAGAAUGUAACACGGCCCCAGGAGAGCUUAGCCAUGGAAGUUCCCACCUUUUUCUGCAGUGAUGACCUCACAACUUUUAAAAGAUACUUAAAACAUCAAAGUUCUGGCUAGAUUCCUCUCCCAGAAUAACAGCCAGCUCACCCUACACUUAAGUGACUCAGUAAGGCCACUUAAGUGACUCUUCCCAGAACAAGGACAAUCUUCUCAAAGUGAAACUGCCCACCAGGACAAUGGAGCCUAUUCACACCAUACUUAUGUGAGUGAGGAAACCACGUAGGGGAUUCUUCCCCAGAGAACAAUGACCUGCUUCACUGCAUUUUCUGCCCUACAUUCAUUUUACACGGAACCAGCUGCCAACCUCUGCCUUUGAAAAUGGCAGAAAAAAAUUGAAACGCCCCAAUUUAAUUAUAAGUGGGUCAUCAGUUUGCUAGGGUACCCAUAACAGAUGCUUUGUUGUUUACUUCUCACUUGCAUCCUGUGUGUUAGAUUCUCAAUUCUGCGUAUUAAGUACAAAACUAAAUGCACCUAUGCCUUUGCUUCAGUCAGUAAAAAGGAUAGCUUUUUUACAACACACAUGUUGUUGCUAUAUAUAUAUAUAUAGCACACGCUAUUGACAUAGACCCCACUGCCAGAGGCUAAAAUAUGCCAGCCAGGAGCUGUCCUCAGGAGAUCUUGUGCAACCCAAAUCCUCCAGAUCCCUGUGGCAUUUUAGAGCCACUUGGUGGGAGGACUUCCUGCCCCUAUCCCCUCACUAGCCAUGUGUCCAUGGGGAUAAUUCUGGAUCUCCUGUUGGCUGGGACUUCGAGGACAGUAAGAGCAACUCUGGCAAUCAGCUGCUCUGUGGAGAAGGGUUCUGUCAACCUAACCAGAAAGACUGAAUCGAUAGAAUCCUGUAGACCUAUGUUCAAAUAUCCUGCUACCCACCUGGGAUUAUCUGCUGUUUCCCCAUCAAACUUCUUGUCCUGGUCCAAAAUAGUUUCAGCCUGCUUCCCGGAACCUGAGAAAUGGAACCCACUUGCAUUUGGAAAUUGGCACCGGACAGAGGACAGGAGCUAAUUGGAUUAUAGGUAACUUUUGUGUUAUCCUAGGGUGUGUUAUCAUGGGGUUGUACUAAUAGCCCUGCAUAUGCUUGGGGGAGGGAGUUCCCCCCCCAUAUCCUAAGCUCCCAACUAAGAGCAGAGGCAAAUAGUUUUAAAGUCAUUGUAGAAUUUCUCUCCUUCCAUAUUCUACAGUAAUGUAUAUGAUCCCAUGAUAAACGAAUAAUAGCAGGGCCAGGAAUAUAUAUCAAGUGUGUUUAUCCUGUGAUUAAUAACUCACAUCUUCUGGUAGCUGGUGUAAACACUGAGCGAUAGAGAGGAAUGGUUGGUUCCUGCUCUUCAAAUGCUCCCGAAAUCACCCAAUAUUAAGUGGAUGGUUUCUUCGAAGCCAAAGACAAUUAUCAGAAAAAUCUUUCAUGAGGGAAAAUUUUGAGCCGUGGCUGGCAGUAAGGGCUUUUGUCUGGAGAGAGAUUGCAUUACAUUAUCGCAGUAAUAAUUAGGCACAAAAAUGUCAUUUCUGUGCCAGUGGUGAAACUAAAAUGUCUGGCUGUCAAUAUAAAUAGACAUCAGGACACGAUACAAGGGUUGAAAAUAUCAUUGAGACUGUGGGUGUCUUGCUGGCAAAAUAAAGACAUUGAGCAAGCACAUAUGAUAUUCCAGUAAACCACAGACAGCAUGAAAUCAAAGCACAGCCACAGAAGUGCAUGUUUUCUCUUCAACGAGGGGGCAAAAAAGCAAGGGGACUUUCCAAGCUGGUAAACCAAACAUCCAUUCGGUUUGGGAACACCUGAUACAUAUCAGUACAGGUGCAGUCACAGAUUUUUUCUCCAGGGACAGGGGUGUGGGAAGAAAAAUAUGUGUUCCAGGGUGAGGAGGAGGCAAAUGGAGUUGAUGCUUAUCAGAAACAGCCUGUUUAAUUAAAGAGACAUUACCGUCCAUCCCGAGAGGGAGGUUUUCAACCUAAAGCACAUUCGGAAAGCAGAGAUGGCUGGCAGAUAAGCUGUGAAUUCGUGCAAUUUUGAAAGCAAUUUAACAUGAAGAUAGUUUGAAAAGAAGAACUAGAUGGCUUUAUCCUUUUCCAUUACUCCAAACGGCAGCUUGAGAGCCAGAAAUGAGAAGUGAGGGGCUUCACUUCGUUGUGGUUGAGAGUUCCCUGUGUAAGGUCUAUGGAUCAGCUUCGGGCCGUGGUGGGAGGUGAGAGAUGCCUCUCUUGCAACUUUCACCUAAUACUGUCCAGAAAAGGGCAUGUGCAGGUGACCACAAGGCACUAGGACCAUUUAUUAGCUUUACAGCUCAUGCCUCUGGAUUCCCAAAGCAACUCAGAGGAAGACAAUGGAGUAGGGGUGGUUUGGCCUACAUCUCAGGGGUAGGUGGAUAUUGCCCCUAGCCAAAAAAAAAGUCUCACUGUUUUAUAAACAACUAAACAUAUUACCGGAGUUUCUGUGGUGACUCAGCAGGUUAAGAACCAACUAGUAUCCAUGAGCAUGCGGGUUUGAUCCCUGGCCUCAUUCAGUGGGUUAAGAAUCUGGUGUUGCCGUGGCUGUGGUGCAGGCUGGCAGCUGUAUCUCCGACUUGACCCCUAGCCUGGGAACCUACAUAUGCUUCAAGUGCAGCCCUAAAAGGAAACAAAAAUUUUAAAAAUAAAUAAAGCAAUUCCCGUCAUGGUUCAGCAGAAACGAAUUUGACUAGCCUCCUUGAGGACACAGGUUUGAUCCCUGGCCUUGCUUGGAGGGUUAAGGAUCUGGCGUUGUCCUGAGCUGUGGUGUAGGUCACAGACGUGGCUUGGAUCCUUUGUGGCUAUGGCUGUGGUGUAGGCCAGCAGCUGUAACUCUGAUUCAACCUCUAGUCUGGGAACUUCCACAU
rnacentral:lncRNA from 1 species